rnacentral:lncRNA from 1 species
CCGAAGUUCUGAAAUUUAUGCAAGGAGAUCCACUCCCAUAGCUCUAAAUGGAAAACUUGAAUUUUGCUUUCAAUCAGCUACUGAUUUCCAGAUUAAGCAGUGAAUGUGCCCACUCAUCAUUGGUGCUGGCAUCAAUUUUCUACUUGUGGAGACAUCUGGAAAAGGAAAAUCAGCCCAGAACUGAGAACAUUCCAGAGCUUCCUCCAAGAUGCUGCUGAUCCUGCUCUCAGUGACCUUGCUGGCCCUGAGCUCAGCUCAAAGCCUGUUUGAUGAUGCAGAAAACCUGGACCAGGGCUCCCCUGAACACUUUCAGAGAUCUACUGAGGGACCUGAAACACCACCACCUGGAGCCCCUCCUAAUGGUGAAAACCUAGAAGGUGAAUCUCAGCUAGGUCCAGCCUCACAAGAUGGUGAACCUCAGCAAGGACCACCCCCAAAAGGUGAUGGACCUCGGCAGAAACCACGUCCAAAAGGUGAUGGACCUCAGCAGAGACCACAUCCACAAGGUGAUGGAUCUCAGCAGAGACCACCUCCACGAGAUGGUGAACCUCCGCAGAGACCACCCCCACCAAAGCAACGUUGUCAUCACCAUCCUCCCCCACUUUCUCCUGAAAGACAUCACAGACCACCACCCCCAAGACGUGGACCACAAAGAUCUCCCCAAGGCCCACCAACCCAGUAAUCUGGAAUUCAAUGACAGAAAAUAUGAAGAUAUGUGUCCUUCAGAAAGCCAUGGAAGAAGGCAGUCUAUCUUCCCUUUAUCAAUAAAACAAUCAGCAUCUAAUUUCUAAGGGUCA